ACUGUUCGCUUGCCAGCGUUCAGCCGGAUGUACCCGAUGAUCUUCACCGGUUGUCUCGUGCGUCCGGCAAGUUUACUUUGAAAAAAUUAGAGUGCUCAAAGCAGGCGCGACGCCCGAAUAAUUGUGCAUGGAAUAAUGGAAUAGGACCUCGGUUCUAUUUUGUUGGUUUUCGGAACACGAGGUAAUGAUUAAGAGGGACAGACGGGGGCAUUCGUAUUGCGACGCUAGAGGUGAAAUUCUUGGACCGUCGCAAGACGAACUACUGCGAAAGCAUUUGCCAAGAAUGUUUCCAUUAAUCAAGAACGAAAGUUAGAGGUUCGAAGACGAUCAGAUACCGUCCUAGUUCUAACCAUAAACGAUGCCAGCCAGCGAUCCGGCUGUGUUCCUCAAAUGACACGCCGGGCAGCUUCCGGGAAACCAAAGCUUUUGGGUUCCGGGGGAAGUAUGGUUGCAAAGCUGAAACUUAAAGGAAUUGACGGAAGGGCACCACCAGGAAUGGAGCCUGCGGCUUAAUUUGACUCAACACGGGAAAACCUACCCGGUCCGGACACAGGAAGGAUUGACAGAUUAAGAGCUCUUUCUUGAUUCUGUGGGUGGUGGUGCAUGGCCGUUCUUAGUUGGUGGGUCGACUUGUCUGGUUAAUUCCGAUAACGAACGAGACUCUAGCCUACUAAAUAGACGUUCCGAUCCUCUUUCGUCGGACGUUCUUCUUAGAGGGACAAGCGGCGUCUAGCCGCACGAGACAGAGCAAUAACAGGUCUGAGAUGCCCUUAGAUGUCCGGGGCCGCACGCGCGCUACAUUGAAGGAAUCAGCGUGUGCUCUCCCUGUCCGAGAGGACUGGGUAACCCGUUGAACCUCCUUCGUGCUGGGGAUUGGAUUUUGUAAUUAGUUCCAUGAACGAGGAAUUCCCAGUAAGCACGAGUCAUUAGCUCGUGUUGAUUACGUCCC
rnacentral:rRNA from 1 species